rnacentral:misc_RNA from 1 species
AACGCAUAUUGCGCUCUUUGGUAUUCUGAAGAGCAUGCUUGUUUGAGUAUCAGUUAACACCUCAAGUCCACAAGGUUUUUUCUUUGAGGAUUUGGAUUUGAGUGAUCCUAACAAUAUUUUUUUGGCAGGUCACUUGAAAUGCAGGUGCAGCUGAACAGUCUUCUGAGCUAAAAGCAUAUUUAUUUAGUCCUUGCUUUUUUACUAAAGCCGGAUUAUUACUUUGCUGCAGCUAACAUAAAGGUUGAUUGUUCAAAUGCUGACUGAUGCAGGAAUUUAACAGUUUGGAAAUUUGCGCAAGUAAAAGAAAAACUGUGAAUCUCGAUCUCAAAUCAAGUAAGACUACCCGCUGAACUUAA